rnacentral:rRNA from 1 species
UGGGGAAUAUUGGACAAUGGGGGCAACCCUGAUCCAGCGAUGCCGCGUGAGUGAUGAAGGCCUUAGGGUUGUAAAACUCUUUCAGGGGUGACGAUAAUGACGGUAGCGACAGAAGAAGCCCCGGCUAACUCCGUGCCAGCAGCCGCGGUAAUACGGAGGGGGCAAGCGUUGUUCGGAUUUACUGGGCGUAAAGGGCGCGUAGGCGGACGGUCAAGUCAGAGGUGAAAGGCCCGGGCUCAACCUGGGACGUGCCUUUGAAACUGAUUGUCUUGAGUGCGGAAGAGGGUGACGGAAUUCCCAGUGUAGAGGUGAAAUUCGUAGAUAUUGGGAAGAACACCGGUGGCGAAGGCGGUCACCUGGUCCGCAACUGACGCUGAGGCGCGAAAGCGUGGGGAGCAAACAGGAUUAGAUACCCCGGUAGUCC